AUUACGGAUGCGGUUAUCGGUUAAUUACAUUGUAACGAUCGCACCGGUGCUUUCAUUUAUCCUGGAUAGACAGACAGUUUUUCUCUGUCUGGUAGUUCAGGCGAAAGAGUUGUAUGGUAGAAACGACUUAAGAGACCGAAAGCAGACACUUCCUUUUCGGCCAAACUUUUUUCAUGAACAUCCACUUGGAAAGGAAAAUGAGGUGCUGCUUCAUCAGAAAAUUUCUAAAAUGGUGGAUGAAUAUAGCGAGAUUGGCCCGAGUGAACGAGUCUGCCUCUAGGUAUGCACCUGUUAGCUAAGAGAUAUGGAGGAGGAAAGAGGAGCACUUCCCAUGGUAUUCCUGGUGAAUAAGACGUUUGUUUACGGAGCCAGUCGAGAAAGAAAUUUAUGUAUGUUAUCAUGAUUCAGUGGAGCCGAAUUUAGUUGAACUUGCUUACCAAUUGAGCUUCAGCGUGGUCGCUUGAAGGAAGUAUAUAAGAUAACGGUAUGGAAAUACUGAAGACAAUGAUUUUAAAGACACAGAAACGGUUUUGAGUAACAUUCACUUUGUUUUCAAGUAAGCUGUCGUGAAUGCAUCACGUGGUCUUGAGUUAAAAUUAAACGCCGAUGAUUUGAUAUUUUUCUGAACAUAUCACAUAAUUUAGACCAACAUUGCUUCGCCACACCAAGGCUGUUGUAAAAAUGUAAUGUACUGGAAUUUUCUGAGUAAAAUUUAAGUGCGAUAAAGCAGGGCUCCAUAUGCGCAGAGGGACCUACUUUUCUGUUAUCAUCUUAAUACAGAACAAAAUAACUGAUUGUGGCUGUUUCGAAGCUGGAGAUUUGGCAACGUUGACUAGAUAUUCAACCUGUUUUUAUUACAAUACACUUUGGAACUUGACGAAAACACACACACACACACACACACACACACACACACACACACACACACACACACACACACACACACACACACACACACACACACACACACACACACACACACACACACACACAUGCACAUGUUCGUGCACGCAGAAAUAUCCACAUACAUUCAAAAGGUAAGACAGACAUUUCACAUACAUAGAACCAUUUGACGUUUACACAUAUAAACAGAAGGAGGGGGAGUAUUAAAACAUCUGAAGUGAAAUAAACAGCAUCAAAUCAGCAACACUAAAUAAGCGAUGCAAAAGCAGCUGUGCCAAUCGUCUCUUACCAAUUGCAAUAAAAGUCGUGUGACAAUCCUAUGAACAUCGCCAUUAAAGUAAAUGAUCAUAAAAAUUAACAGAAAUAAGUGAUGGACCGGGACCUUAAUAUACUUACCUUGAAUUGCUCUCAAUAUAUCCGAACUGUAUCAGACUUAAGGAUUUUCUUCAUUUUCAUACACAUGAAUGCACACAGAUAAAACAUUGAUCCAUGCAGGUAAACUUGUAUAGAUCAAUCUCGUUGUAAAGUAAAAAUGAUUGCAUAUUCACA